rnacentral:rRNA from 1 species
UAGAACAUGAAAGUGGCGCACGGGUGCGUAACACGUAUGCAAUCUACCUCUAAUAGGGAAAUAGCUUCGAGAAAUCGGAAUUAAUGUCCCAUAACAUAUUUUGAUGGCAUCAUUGGAAUAUCAAACCUCCGGGGAUUAGAGAUGAGCAUGCGCAACAUUAGCUAGUUGGUAAGGUAACGGCUUACCAAGGCUACGAUGUUUAGGGGGUCUGAGAGGAUGAUCCCCCACACUGGUACUGAGACACGGACCAGACUCCUACGGGAGGCAGCAGUAGGGAAUAUUGGUCAAUGGAGGCAACUCUGAACCAGCCAUGCCGCGUGCAGGAUGACGGCCCUCUGGGUUGUAAACUGCUUUUAUACGGGAAGAAAAAAUACUACGUGUAGUAUAUUGACGGUACCGUAAGAAUAAGGAUCGGCUAACUCCGUGCCAGCAGCCGCGGUAAUACGGAGGAUCCAAGCGUUGUCCGGAUUUAUUGGGUUUAAAGGGUGCGU